GUCCUGUAGCUCACGAACAUGAUGAUUAGGUGUUCACGCGCAUGUGUGGGAUGUGCCACCCUCUGACUUUGUUACAAUGUUGGCAUAUCCUGGACCUGAUC